GACAGAGGCCUCAAGCGUUAGGCGGAAUCACUGGGCUUAAAGCGUGUGUAGGCGGAUCGUUAAGUGUCUUGUGAAAUCCCACGGCUCACCCGUGGAACGGCUGGGCAUACUGGCGAUCUUGGGCCAACUAGGGGCAACUGGAACAAGCGGUGGAGCGGUGAAAUGCGUAGAUAUCGCUUGGAACGCCAAAGGUGAAAACAGGUUGCUGGGGUUGUGCCGACGCUGGAGACACGGAAAGCCAGGGGAGCAAACGGG
rnacentral:rRNA from 1 species